ensembl:lncRNA
CAGCUGCCUUGCAGACCUCUGCAGCUGUCAAGUGCAGUGUGGCUGGGAAGCAGGUUAGCAGAACUGUAUUUGGUCCGUUAUGCUCACUUCAAAAUCUAUUAUCUAUUGUUGUGGUUAAAGCAUCAUUAUUUACUGCUGCUUUUCUACUUGGUGCAAAUGCUUGUACAAGAUGGGAAAAUGAGCACAUGGGGAUCAGAUUCUGGAAGAUCUUUCCAAAAGAAGCUGUGGAGUCUACUGCAGAUACUCAAAAUCUUGAAGAGCUCCCUCUGCUUUAAACAGUGACAGUCCACAGUGAUACAAUGAAGACAGAGGAGUAAGAUUUAUCAACAGAGAGGAUCUCAGAAGAUUGGGAUUCACUUGAGGAAACACAUUUUGCUUCCAUCUAUAACAUGAGAGAUUUCCCACCUUACAUUUGCUCUCCAUUGUCCUUUGAGGUUGUGACUCACUGAAGCCGAUCUUUAAGUACAGGAUUUAUUCAGUGCAAGUGAUGGACUGAACUCUGUCAGAGGGCAAAAGAAAACUACCUGCAGGGAGCCAUGGCCAAAUGAGAUGGAC